GCACCAGUAGCUCAGUGGAAAAGAGUAUAUUUUGUAAACAGAAGGGCAGGGGUCGACCCCCUGCCGCCGCG
rnacentral:tRNA from 1 species